UACGGGGGGGGGGCAAGCGUUGUUCGGAAUUACUGGGCGUAAAGGGCUCGUAGGCGGCCAACUAAGUCAGACGUGAAAUCCCCAGGCUCAACCUGGGAACUGCGUCUGAUACUGGAUGGCUUGAAUCCGGGAGAGGGAUGCAGAAUUCCAGGUGUAGCGGUGAAAUGCGUAGAUAUCUGGAGGAAUACCGGUGGCGAAGGCGGCAUCCUGGACCGGCAUUGACGCUGAGGAGCGAAAGCUAGGGGAGCAAACGGG
rnacentral:rRNA from 1 species